UACAGUCAUAUCGCGUUGAAACACCGGUUCUCGUUAUAUCACCGAAGUUAAGCAACGCCUGGUCAGUAUUUAGAUGGGUGACCGCUUGGGAAUACUAGGUGCUGAC